rnacentral:miRNA from 1 species
AGGUGCAGGUGCAAAUGCAGA